GACAUCCAGUCUAGUGGAGUGAGCAUCUACUGGAUUCUUGGAUUUUCCAUUCCUAGCCAGAUAUUGUUGAAUUAGCUAGAGCACAGCUUAUAAGCCAUUCUAACAAAUACCCUUUCCAUAGAGAGAUUCAUUUUGUAACUUCUGUUCUCUAUAGAACCCUGGCUAAUACACCAGACAUGUAGAGAGGAAAUUCUAGAACAGUUAGGAUCUCAUAACAGUCUCAGCUCACUUACAAAUUCUCAGUGGCCAUCUUCCCUUAACCUUAGCAUUCCUCAGGUGCUGCUCACUUCAAAGAACUCAACCCUCCUCUUUCACAUCAUCCUGAUCUAAUUCCUUGACAUGAUUUAUUUCUCAUAUUAUUAGGUAUGGAUGUUAAGGAGGGGAAGAGUCAUUCUUAGGAAGUGCUUAUAAACUGAGUGUUCACCUACCCAUGGGUAAAGUAGUGAAAAGAUUCUAAUGAGGCCGAAGAAAUCUCUAGGUUUGGAAGGAGGAGGUGCUGAAUAACUUCCCCUGUGUCAGAAGAGAGACUCCUGGAAAGGAAACCUCAGCUUCUGGUCAGUUCAUGGAGAACUAAUUAGCAAGGAGGCAAAGACUGUGCCCCAUGACAUCAGCAGACCCUUUGCUGGGCAUUCUGUUGUAUCCUGGACAGCUCUUGGAAUCCCCAGUGAUGUCACUAGUGUUGAAGCAGCACCAACAUUCUUUAGGACAUUGGUUCACUGACCACAAGUUUGGCCUCUAGACAUGUUAUCCAGACUCAGAGGUCUAUUUGGGAGAGGGAAUGGACAGCAUGGAGAGACCAGAGUGAGGCAGAAGGAAGCUGGUCCUAGAUCUCCCUGGAAAACAUGGGGGAAUAAGUUGUCCUGGGGAAGACUCAGGACUACAGAGGAGGCACCAUCCCAACUCUCCACCUUCACUGAGCAGGAGCAGUAGAUGAAAAAAAUAGAGAAACUCACAAGCCGGCUACAUAAUAUGACAUGCGAGAGAAAUGAGCUGCGUGGAAUCCUAGCCAAUUACACCAACAAGGAUUUGAACAACAGGCUGAAUUUUGAGCUUGAGAUGCUCAAAAUGGAGCAUAAGCAGGUGAUGUCUGACCUGCAAAAAUUUCCCAUAGAGAUCAUUGAUGCCUUGGACAAGUGCACGGGGCUGAUUGAGGAGACUGAAUCCUUCAGGAGCAAGAGAGUCUGGAUGAAAUACUGAAGGACCUGCUGAAGCAGAAGGAGCUUGUCACCCAGCAAAGGGACUUGGCAGAAAAGCUACAACAUCACUUCAGUGUCACUGAGAUGAGCAGAUCUUGAGAGAACUGAGGAGGCCAAAGAAGCCAAAGAUGCCUUGAACCCAUGAAGCUCUCCACCUCAGAUCGAGGUCUGCUCAGAAGACAUCCCUUAUAGCUGUGAUCUCACCAGUGAGGCAAAUACCAUCUGACCUCCAGGUGAUCCAGCCCCAAUCAAUAGGUCUGUUGACUCAGGAUUCCUGAAGAAAAGAAAGCAUCACAAAUGAACUCAAGACAGAAAAACCUGAGACAAUAAUUACUGGGAACCCUGACAUUCAACAGCAAGUGGACCCUGUGAGGGCUACAACAACAUGGAGGGUAGAGAUGUUGGCCAGUGCUGAAGCUGACUCCAUGUCCUGCACAAGUGUUGCUGAGGAUAAUGCACCACAGAGAUCUCCACAGUCCAUCAUUCCCUGGGUUAGACAUUUUUUCCUACAUAUUUAAAAUCAGUGGUUAUUUCUCCAUUUCUCAGCUUGAACUGAAGUGACUGGUCCUGAGAAAGGAUUUAUAGAAGACAUCUGAGUUACCCUUUGAUGUUUCUUGGUACUCAGAUGCUGCCCACAUAUUUGUGGGGUCUCUAGUAAGCACACAAGAGUCUGUAUGCUGAAAGAAUCAAAUAGUGACCAAGACAUUACAGGAUCAGCAGUGUGUGAUAAUUUAUCAAAAGCUUCCCAGAGGGGCACAAAGAAUGCUCUAGAAAAUGUCUCAUCCUUAGUCUCGGUGAAGGCUUGGCCUACAAAGCCUGAAGGAGGCAUGACUAUACUAGUUUUGAAAAGGCUUUCACAUUCGCUGACUGCCUUCCUACCAUGUUUCCAAGGCCAGCCACAGGCUGUAGGUCUGUGCUGCUAACUGUGCAGCAGAGAAUGCUGCUGGCCUUAAUUGUUUUUUGUUUGGUUUUUGGUUGCUUUGGGUUUUUUGUUUGUUUGUUUUCUUUGUUAUAGAUUGAGAUUUUGCUAUUUAUUUUUUCUUUCUUUUGUUCUUGUUGUUAUUUGGGUAUUUUGCUAAGGCUGUUCACUGUUUAUAUUGACUGCUCCCUUUAAGCCCCUAUUGAGUAAUAUUACUGAAUUUUAUUAAUAAUAAAGUGAUUUUGAACUUUUC